AGAGUUUGAUCAUGGCUCAGAUUGAACGCUGGCGGCAGGCCUAACACAUGCAAGUCGAGCGGUAGCACAGAGAGCUUGCUCUCGGGUGACGAGCGGCGGACGGGUGAGUAAUGUCUGGGAAACUGCCUGAUGGAGGGGGAUAACUACUGGAAACGGUAGCUAAUACCGCAUAACGUCGCAAGACCAAAGUGGGGGACCUUCGGGCCUCAUGCCAUCAGAUGUGCCCAGAUGGGAUUAGCUGGUAGGUGGGGUAACGGCUCACCUAGGCGACGAUCCCUAGCUGGUCUGAGAGGAUGACCAGCCACACUGGAACUGAGACACGGUCCAGACUCCUACGGGAGGCAGCAGUGGGGAAUAUUGCACAAUGGGCGCAAGCCUGAUGCAGCCAUGCCGCGUGUGUGAAGAAGGCCUUCGGGUUGUAAAGCACUUUCAGCGGGGAGGAAGGCGAUAAGGUUAAUAACCUUGUCGAUUGACGUUACCCGCAGAAGAAGCACCGGCUAACUCCGUGCCAGCAGCCGCGGUAAUACGGAGGGUGCAAGCGUUAAUCGGAAUUACUGGGCGUAAAGCGCACGCAGGCGGUCUGUCAAGUCGGAUGUGAAAUCCCCGGGCUCAACCUGGGAACUGCAUUCGAAACUGGCAGGCUAGAGUCUUGUAGAGGGGGGUAGAAUUCCAGGUGUAGCGGUGAAAUGCGUAGAGAUCUGGAGGAAUACCGGUGGCGAAGGCGGCCCCCUGGACAAAGACUGACGCUCAGGUGCGAAAGCGUGGGGAGCAAACAGGAUUAGAUACCCUGGUAGUCCACGCUGUAAACGAUGUCGAUUUGGAGGUUGUGCCCUUGAGGCGUGGCUUCCGGAGCUAACGCGUUAAAUCGACCGCCUGGGGAGUACGGCCGCAAGGUUAAAACUCAAAUGAAUUGACGGGGGCCCGCACAAGCGGUGGAGCAUGUGGUUUAAUUCGAUGCAACGCGAAGAACCUUACCUGGUCUUGACAUCCACAGAACUUUCCAGAGAUGGAUUGGUGCCUUCGGGAACUGUGAGACAGGUGCUGCAUGGCUGUCGUCAGCUCGUGUUGUGAGAUGUUGGGUUAAGUCCCGCAACGAGCGCAACCCUUAUCCUUUGUUGCCAGCGGUUAGGCCGGGAACUCAAAGGAGACUGCCAGUGAUAAACUGGAGGAAGGUGGGGAUGACGUCAAGUCAUCAUGGCCCUUACGACCAGGGCUACACACGUGCUACAAUGGCAUAUACAAAGAGAAGCGACCUCGCGAGAGCAAGCGGACCUCAUAAAGUAUGUCGUAGUCCGGAUUGGAGUCUGCAACUCGACUCCAUGAAGUCGGAAUCGCUAGUAAUCGUAGAUCAGAAUGCUGCGGUGAAUACGUUCCCGGGCCUUGUACACACCGCCCGUCACACCAUGGGAGUGGGUUGCAAAAGAAGUAGGUAGCUUAACCUUCGGGAGGGCGCUUACCACUUUGUGAUUCAUGACUGGGGUGAAGUCGUAACAAGGUAACCGUAGGGGAACCUGCGGUUG
rnacentral:rRNA from 1 species